GUGCUAACUUCCACAGCACAUAUAUUAGUAUUGAAACAAUACAUAGAAGAUUAGCAUGGCCCUUGUGUAAGGAUGAUAGGCAAAUUUGGGAAGCAUUCCAUAUUUUU
ensembl:snRNA U6 U6 spliceosomal RNA